CUGAGCCAAGGGCAGACGCUCAACCCCUGAGCCCCCCAGGCACCCCUGGACUCUAUCUCUUAAUGGGAGGAGGAGUGCAAAGAAUUUGCAGCCACCCCAAAUCUACUGUACCUGGAAAGCGGUAAGGUCCGGAUUUGAACCCAAGUCACCUGACUCCUUCCUUGAUGGUCACCUUCAGGCUUGACUUGGAACCUGCUCAACUAUUGGAAACGGCCCUUACUGUUGCUGGUGUCGGAGAAGGUGGCGAUACCAACACCACUGAGACGUGCCCCUCGUUAAGGACGCCAGCAGGCCGCACCCAGCUCUCUCAAGAGGGCCCCAGUCUUCCCACCACCCACAGGACGCUGCCGUCUUUUCUAACAAUAGGGAGUGCCUUCAGAACCGCUGACCCCAUGCCUGCAAGGCCUCUGAGGCCGCUAAUUCUUCCACCAGAAGAUGAUGAGCCCUCGUCGAACCCCUGACCCCGGAUGCGUAGAGGAGGCGUUUUCCAGAGGCUUUCUAGUUCUUCGGCGGUGCUGUCUGGCACUAUGAGACCACGGUGUGAUGGGCUUCACCGGGGUGUAAGAGAAGCCCCGUCAUCCUGGGUGUGGAGAUUUAGUCAACACAGUGCCCCUUGGCCUCCUCCUGACCCGUCUGUGGUGUUUCCUUAUCUGGCCUGAAGUCAGCGGCUCUUGCUGCCUCAGGGGAGGAGCGAUAAGGCCCAAAAGCCACAGGACUACUUAGCAGUGGGGGAGGUGGACGUGAAGUAGAAGCAGAGACGACCGUGGCUUUGAGGUGUGAGCGGAGCACCGACCCAGGCGGGGGCCUGACGGGCCGUGAAGCCUGGCAGUUUGGACUGAUGACGUUCAUGUGGACAUCGGGACCCACCCAGUGGAGGCUACGUCACAGAGCUCAACCCAAGUCAGCCUGAGCUUGGGAAAACCAUCCGUCAGGGAAAGCGAGCAGACAGACGCCAUCACAGCCCUCAGUCCUGCGCUCCCCUGCGGCCCAGCCUCCCUGCCCCCUGCCCCUGCCCCGUGGGUCCCGGCCUUCCCGGUCCCGGCCUUCCCGCGCUGCCUCUCCUAAGGCCCUGUGAAGCUCACUCUGGCCCAAACGCCCUCGGGAACAGCUCCACGGCUUGUGAGGCACCUCCCCUGGCCCAGGGAUUUUUUUUUUUUUUUUGCCUUGA